rnacentral:rRNA from 1 species
GAUGAACGCUGGCGGCGUGCUUAACACAUGCAAGUCGAACGAUGAAGCCCAGCUUGCUGGGUGGAUUAGUGGCGAACGGGUGAGUAACACGUGAGUAACCUGCCCUUAACUCUGGGAUAAGCCUGGGAAACUGGGUCUAAUACCGGAUAGGAGCGUCCACCGCAUGGUGGGUGUUGGAAAGAUUUAUCGGUUUUGGAUGGACUCGCGGCCUAUCAGCUUGUUGGUGAGGUAAUGGCUCACCAAGGCGACGACGGGUAGCCGGCCUGAGAGGGUGAUCGGCCACACUGGGACUGAGACACGGCCCAGACUCCUACGGGAGGCAGCAGUGGGGAAUAUUGCACAAUGGGCGCAAGCCUGAUGCAGCGACGCCGCGUGAGGGAUGACGGCCUUCGGGUUGUAAACCUCUUUCAGUAGGGAAGAAGCGAAAGUGACGGUACCUGCAGAAGAAGCACCGGCUAACUACGUG